AGAGUUUGAUCCUGGCUCAGGAUGAACGCUGGCGGCGUGCUUAACACAUGCAAGUCGAACGGGAUCCAUCAAGCUUGCUUGAUGGUGAGAGUGGCGAACGGGUGAGUAAUGCGUGACUAACCUGCCUCAUACACCGGAAUAGCUCCUGGAAACGGGUGGUAAUGCCGGAUGCUCCAAUAUUUCACAUGUUUUGUUGGGAAAGCGUUAGCGGUAUGAGAUGGGGUCGCGUCCUAUCAGCUUGUUGGUGAGGUAAUGGCUCACCAAGGCUUCGACGGGUAGCCGGCCUGAGAGGGCGACCGGCCACAUUGGGACUGAGAUACGGCCCAGACUCCUACGGGAGGCAGCAGUGGGGAAUAUUGCACAAUGGGCGAAAGCCUGAUGCAGCGACGCCGCGUGCGGGAUGAAGGCCUUCGGGUUGUAAACCGCUUUUAAUUGGGAGCAAGCGAGAGUGAGUGUACCUUUUGAAUAAGCACCGGCUAACUACGUGCCAGCAGCCGCGGUAAUACGUAGGGUGCAAGCGUUAUCCGGAAUUAUUGGGCGUAAAGAGCUCGUAGGCGGUUUGUCACGCCUGGUGUGAAAGUCCAUCGCUUAACGGUGGAUCUGCGCCGGGUACGGGCAGGCUAGAGUGCAGUAGGGGAGAUUGGAAUUCCCGGUGUAACGGUGGAAUGUGUAGAUAUCGGGAAGAACACCAAUGGCGAAGGCAGAUCUCUGGGCUGUUACUGACGCUGAGGAGCGAAAGCAUGGGGAGCGAAC
rnacentral:rRNA from 1 species